rnacentral:rRNA from 1 species
GACGAACCGUGCGAACGUUAUUCGGAAUCACUGGGCUUAAAGCGCGUGUAGGCGGCCCGGCACGUCGGACGCUGAAAUCCCCCGGCUCAACCGGGGAAGGGGCGCCGAUACGACCGGGCUGGAGGGGGGUAGGGGGCGCCGGAACUUCCGGUGGAGCGGUGAAAUGCGUUGAGAUCGGAAGGAACGCCCGUGGCGAAAGCGGGCGCCUGGACCCCACCUGACGCUGAGACGCGAAAGCUAGGGGAGCAAACAGG